UACGGAGGGUGCAAGCGUUAUCCGGAUUCACUGGGUUUAAAGGGUGCGUAGGCGGGUUGGUAAGUCCGUGGUGAAAUCUCCGAGCUUAACUCGGAAACUGCCGUGGAUACUAUCAAUCUUGAAUAUCGUGGAGGUAAGCGGAAUAUGUCAUGUAGCGGUGAAAUGCUUAGAUAUGACAUAGAACACCAAUUGCGAAGGCAGCUUACUACCCGAAUAUUGACACUGAGGCACGAAAGCGUGGGGAUCAAACAGG
rnacentral:rRNA from 1 species